rnacentral:rRNA from 1 species
GACAGAGGGUGCAAACGUGUUCGGAUUUACUGGGCGUAAAGCGUGUGUAGGCGGCUUGGCAAGUUGGAUGUGAAAGCCCACGGCUCAACCGUGGAAGCGCACCCAAAACUGCUUCGCUCGAGCUCGGAGAGGAAGGUGGAAUGCUUGGUGUAGAGGUGAAAUUCGUAGAUAUCAAGCAGAACACCUGCGGCGAAGGCGGCCUUCUGGAACGAGUGACUGA